GCCUUGGUCGCUUAAAUGGUUAAAGCAUUACUCUGAAGAAGUAGAGCAGGGAGUUCAAUACUCUCCCAGGGCA
rnacentral:tRNA from 1 species